UAGGGAAUCUUCGGCAAUGGGGGGAACCCUGACCGAGCAACGCCGCGUGAGUGAAGAAGGUUUUCGGAUCGUAAAGCUCUGUUGUUAAGGAAGAACGAGUGUGAGAAUGGAAAGUUCAUACUGUGACGGUACUUAACCAGAAAGGGACGGCUAACUACGUGCCAGCAGCCGCGGUAAUACGUAGGUGGCAAGCGUUGUCCGGAUUUAUUGGGCGUAAAGCGAGCGCAGGCGGUCAAUUAAGUCUGAUGUGAAAGCCCCCGGCUCAACCGGGGAGGGUCAUUGGAAACUGGAAAACUUGAGUGCAGAAGAGGAAAGUGGAAUUCCAUGUGUAGCGGUGAAAUGCGCAGAGAUAUGGAGGAACACCAGUGGCGAAGGCGACUUUCUGGUCUGUAACUGACGCUGAUGUGCGAAAGCGUGGGGAUCAAACAGG
rnacentral:rRNA from 1 species